CCUCUCUCAGUGCCCGCCGCCCGCGCGCCGCCCGCGCCGCAUCAACCACCAGAAAGAGAAAAUGGCGCUCGAUCUGGCAGAGGAAGUGACAUGGUUUCUGAUGGACACAAGAUACAGAGACAAUCCCCUGUGCGGGCAGGCAACAGCUGUACCACAAGGACCAAGACAAGCAGCCACAGCAGCAGGAUGGGUGGCUCUCCACCACCAAGACCCCUGGUGUGGCCCUGCCACCAGAGCCGGCAGGAGGCCAGUCAUGGCAAGAGACCCUAUACGACCAUGCUAGAUCCCAUCCUUGGCACAUCAGGACCUUCUCCCUGCAUCCCUACCAUCUUCCUGGCACAGCUCUCAGUCUUCCCCUCAAGAGUGACCUGGCUUUGCUCCAGCCAUUCCCAAAGGUUUCACAAUUGACUUCAACUAGAGAUUCCCUAAGUAUUCACCAUGUGAGUGAGACACACCCAUGGAAGCCAAGGGGGAUAUUGCCAUGAGCCUGGGCAGUCAUACAAUUUCACUGUUGGUCUACACACAACUCACACACAGGUCAAUGUGUUGGCCAGCACACUCAACGCCUCUGAAAGCCACAGUAGCAAACUGACUGGCAUCUUUUCAAAAAGUAAUACAAAUCAAACAUUCA